rnacentral:lncRNA from 10 species
UUAAAACUCAAGCCACCUGCUUUCCCCUGAAAAAGCUUCUCCUGACAAAAUACACGGUGUCAUCGGAUAAUGGUGAGAGAGACAUGCCCGUGUCACCAACUCAGAAAUGAUCUUCUUCUUUUUUCCAGGAGAGUGUUAACAACAAGGUCUAUGCACAGUUCAUCUCUCACCUGGAUUUCCUGCAGCUUCUUCCAGAGACUUCAGAUAGUCCCAGUGCUAGUUGCUGCUUCUCCAGAUGUUUUUUAUUUCCCCCGAGUGGCUUUCUACACUCUCAUUCACACCUCCUUUCUAUUUAUAGACCAGUGGCAGUGUCUUCGCCCCUGCUUCUAAACCUUUCACCAGAAAAGCCUGCACUCUUAUUACCUUCUCAGAAUAUUUACUUGUUCACAUAGGUGUAUCAUGUUACGCUCCAAAUACAUUUUCUCCUGUGUCCUCAGCUGUAAAACCUUAGCAUUCUCUUUUUUGUGAAUCUCAAGAUAUUAUAUAACUCCUUACACUGAACUCCAAAGCAGACAGCUAGUCACCCUUUCCUUACUCUCUCAACACUUUUCUUUUUCCUUCAACCUUUGGUCCUGUGUAAAUACUUGCAUCUAAUAGUGUAAUAUUUGAGGGCAGCAUGAACUGUGAGACCUAUGUGCAAAAAUCCCAGUCGCCUUUCCUCAUUCAUUUAAUAAAUGUCUUUUAAGUGACCACUAUAUGUCAAACCCUGGUAUACAUGUUCAGUAUUUGAGAAUGAAUAAGGUCAGAGACACCAUCCCUAACCUUAAGCAUCUCAGAGUCUUGGGUGAAGAGAAUGGGAAUGCUAAGCUGUAAGGCACAUGUACAAUUAGUCAUACUACCAUGCUCUAUUACACUGCAGUACUAUACUCAAUAUAUGUGAGAAGUGCUAAGGCAAAAGAGAGGAAAGCAAUAUUAAUUCCACAUGACAUUUGAGCCAGGUUUAGAAGGGUUACUACAAAAUCAUCCGGAGGCAGGGCAAGAACCUUCUAAAGAGAAGGAACGUAAGUUUGGGAUGAAAGAAGCCCAGUGAGAGGGAGUAUUAUUAUUAAUAUUUAGUUCAAUUUGCCAAGGUAGCAUAUGACAUCAUGUACUAGAUGGCAGUAAAGAAAUGCUGCUGUCUACAAUGGAGACACACCCCCAAGUUAAACCUGAGUAAACCUGGCUCCCUCUGUGAACUGUCACCCUUGAAUAAACGAAUACUGCCUGGGUCCUGUGGCAUCUUUUCUGGGCACAAAAUUUUAUUUUAAAGGACAUUGGGAAGCUAAUCAUGAAGCAGCAGAAACAAAAGCUGUCUACAUUCCCCUGCUGCAAAAAAAAAAAAAGAAAGAAAAAAAAAGAAAAAGGGGCUCCGUUAGAGGAGAUGUUGAGUCUAAGAAAACAAAUAAAAGUUGUUCUGAAAGGAGAGGCAAUUAAGUUUUUGCCAAACAUGACAGAAAGCUGAGAACUGAAGCAGACAGAGUAAUGUCUAUCUUUGGCACACCAGACAGGCAGGAAAAGAGUGUGUGUCUUUGAUGGCAGACUUUAUUUUAAAGGUGCUAACUGACAUUUUGAAAGGACAUGAAAACAUGGAAACGAGAGAGCUCUUCAGGGCCCUGCUGUCUGGGCUGCAGAAGCUCCCAAAUGCCCCUAGGGUUUUCAUUCUCCCAGACUAAGGCUAGCACAAGAUAAGGUGCAGAAAAGAAAAGAAGAAAAAUAAAACAAGUCUCUAUCUUAAAGCAGCUACAUGAAUUCAUAUGAUGCAUUUAAGUCGAAAGUAUAAAGAGAAAGACAGUUCCUGGCUCCUGAAAGAAUCUUGCAGAGGGAUGCUCAUUUGUUACAGAAGGGCAGAGUUAUGUCCAUCAUCUGACCAGUCAACAAAGUGCAUAUAUGUUUUUAUAAAGAAGCCUGUGACAAUAGCAGAACAGGAACAAAAGCUUAUUUCUAAGGCAACUGGUGACUCGAGUAUUGGAGAAAGCCCCCUUGUGGCUUUCCCAAAGGCACUCUUACAACGGAGCAGAUGCUGGUAGUCAGGAACUGAGUGUACUGAGGCAUCUCAAUCUACAGCUCAUUUCCCUUACCUCUCUCAUUGCUUCCCUAUCAGUCCUGCUGACUGAAGGCACAACCUAUGUUUAUUAUCUCUUGAUCCCACUAAAUCAUUUUAUC